AUGGGGGCGGAAGUCGCGGAGGUUGAACUCCCAGGCGGCGAUGUACCCGCCGUGGCUGUCGUAGAGCGCGACGCCCACCUGCAGCGGCUUCAGGUCGUCGACAUUGGCCUUCACGAGGGCGUAGCGCUCCUCCACGGUGAGGGCGUUGUGGUCCUUGCCGGGGUGGUGGACGACGCCCGGGUAGUGCACGUCGACGGCGACGUACUGGGCUCUCCUGGCGACGUGGCAGAGGUUGGCCGAUUCAUGCUUGAAGUUGGAUGCCCACACGGAGCGCACAGGGACUGGCCACGAUGCCCAUACCGGCGACAUGGGUGCAUGGUAGAAGUACGGCGGGGGCUGCACCGGGAACGUAUGGUGGAAAGGUGGCGGCGGCGGCGGCGGAAACACUGGGAACAUACCGGCGGCCGGGUUCAUGCUGAUCGAUGCCUCUGA
rnacentral:rRNA from 1 species